UCUUCAUUUAGUAGGUACUUGAUCUUUUGUUUAUCAAAUUAUCUUCAUUAAGAUCCAGAUAAUUAUCUCGUGUUACGUGUGGAAAUUGUGUUUAAUUGUCUAUGUGUAAAUUUAACUAUUUGUACUAUUAUUUGCUGCAAUGGCACCAUUUCCACAGUUUCCUGGUAUCUUGGUUUUGCAAAUGGAAAUGAUGGAGUACAUGUAUAGCAGCAAUAUUCAUGCAACUUAAUUUUUUCAAAAAAAAAGGGUUUAAACUGUGGUUUUCAGCAAUUGGUAUUGGGAUGAUUGUUGUUACUUUACCUAUUGAAGGUUUAAGCGCCUUAUGUAUUUUAACAUUUUCAGGCUCCUUUACGUUUUCAUUUGACUGCCUUUAUGUCUUACUAGGUGGUGGCAUGUCCUUGUUAUGUUCCACAGGCAACAGUUUUUUAAUUUCACUUACUGUGAUAAACGAACAUCUGACCAUGGCAAUGAUUUUUAACGGCAGUUUCUUUUCUUUUUUUUUUUGUUCUCUUU
rnacentral:lncRNA from 1 species